UCUGUUUGAUGGACCAGGAGUGAAAAAUACUUAGUCAAACAGCGCCAGGUGCCAUUAAUUAAUAUUUGUUGACUAAAUCAUUCCUCAUAAUAGAAAAAUACUUGCUUAAAAUAUGUUUUACUUUGUUGAAUAUGGAAAAUAAUCUCUCUGCAAGAGUUGUAAGAGGGUGAAAUUUAUUGUGAUCAAAAUGAAAGCCCAAACUGUAGGUUUACUUAAAUAUUUUCAAAGUUUUGUCGAGACUUUUGUGUCAUUUUAACCUGUUAGUUCCCUUUGAGUCGGAAACUAUAUGUUUCACUUACUUGGUAACAAUAUAUAGACUUUAUAUUUUGGUAUACUGGCCUUCAAUCAUAAAGUAUUUGAUAUUAGGUCAUAGGGAGAUUAUUUAAAUUGGCAUUUCUUAAAAGUAAAAUCUUAAUAUUUUCUUUUAUUUGUCUCUAAGCCUAAGCAAAUAACAUCUAUCAAUACCUGUAUGUUUUUCAAUGUGUCUGAA
rnacentral:lncRNA from 1 species